rnacentral:rRNA from 1 species
ACGCUUGACACCUACGGGAGUCAGCAGUGGGGAAUAUUGCACAAUGGGGGAAACCCUGAUGCAGCGAUGCCGCGUGAAGGAAGAAGUAUCUCGGUAUGUAAACUUCUAUCAGCAGGGAAGAAAAUGACGGUACCUGACUAAGAAGCCCCGGCUAACUACGUGCUAGCAGCCGCGGUAAUCUGAGCGGCUGGCAAGGC